GUGCGCUCCUCUGAGCUCCCCUCUCUCCCCAGCCAGGAUUUUCUCCCCCUCGCCUCCCUUCCCCUCGCCUCCCCUCCCCUCCCUUCCCCUCCCCUCCCCGCGCCCGCGCGCGCUCUCUCUCUCUCCCAGAGUUCAUUCACAUUAUUGGAGUGAAGGAAGCCGAGGGAAGUGUUCCCCAGGAGGACCGAAGGGAAAGCGCGUCUCCAGCCACCUCUCUUACCCGCCCAGGACAUCCAGCCUCCCCUCCGACGGCCCUGCGGAUUCUUUAAUUUGUGGAGGAGGGCGUGGGUGGGUGUGUCCCUCCUUUCCCCUCUGUGCCUGUUCACCUGGUGAUGAAGGGGGACCCCAACGGGAGCUCCGCAGUUUGCCUUUCUGUUUGCGGACACCCACUGGCAGCUGCACUUGGUCCUGCGGUGAUGAGGGUGUAGACUGUGGAGUCGCAUAAGGACUUGACCGCCGGCACAGGGAGCUGGAGCAAACCCAAGACUGGCUGAGACCAUUCAUCAUGCCUGGGUGAGCACAAUUUAAAUCUGGAAAUUUCUGCUCAGCCAGAUUACAGAACUCUAAAUGACAGUAUUUAACUGCUGCCUGAGGACCCUGGAGUUUCUCCCAUGUGACGCUUCCAGAAUCAAGGGAGGGAUGUGCUCUCCUCUUGCCUAGGAGGAGGUCCUGGACUGGUCUUGUUCUGGAGAGACUGGACACUUGGCAUCCUCUCCCACCAUGAACUGCCCCCCACCGCCCAUAUAAAUGUUACUGCUGGGGGUGUGAACAAGUAAACGUGUAUUAUUACCUCCCUUGCCAGCUGAGGAGGUGGCGAUAUUUGCCAGUCACUUGGA
rnacentral:lncRNA from 1 species